GAUGAACGCUGGCGGCGUGCCUAAUACAUGCAAGUCGAGCGAACGGACGAGAAGCUUGCUUCUCUGAUGUUAGCGGCGGACGGGUGAGUAACACGUGGAUAACCUACCUAUAAGACUGGGAUAAUUUCGGGAAACCGGAGCUAAUACCGGAUAAUAUUUUGAACCGCAUGGUUCAAAAGUGAAAGACGGUCUUGAUGUCACUUAUAGAUGGAUCCGCGCUGCAUUAGCUAGUUGGUAAGGUAACGGCUUACCAAGGCAACGAUGCAUAGCCGACCUGAGAGGGUGAUCGGCCACACUGGAACUAAGACACGGUCCAGACUCCUACGGGAGGCAGCAGUAGGGAAUCUUCCGCAAUGGGCGAAAGCCUGACGGAGCAACGCCGCGUGAGUGAUGAAGGUCUUCGGAUCGUAAAACUCUGUUAUUAGGGAAGAACAUAUGUGUAAGUAACUGUGCACAUCUUGACGGUACCUAAUCAGAAAGCCACGGCUAACUACGUG
rnacentral:rRNA from 1 species